rnacentral:rRNA from 1 species
AUUGAACGCUGGCGGCAGGCCUAACACAUGCAAGUCGAACGGUAGCACAGAGAGCUUGCUCUCGGGUGACGAGUGGCGGACGGGUGAGUAAUGUCUGGGAAACUGCCCGAUGGAGGGGGACAACUACUGGAAACGGUAGCUAAUACCGCAUAACGUCGCAAGACCAAAGUGGGGGACCUUCGGGCAUCACACCAUCCGAUGUGCCCAGAUGGGAUUAGCAAGUAGGUGGGGUAAUGGCUCACCUAGGCGACGAUCACUAGCUGGUCUGAGAGGAUGACCAGCCACACUGGAACUGAGACACGGUCCAGACUCCUACGGGAGGCAGCAGUGGGGAAUAUUGCACAAUGGGCGCAAGCCUGAUGCAGCCAUGCCGCGUGUAUGAAGAAGGCCUUCGGGUUGUAAAGUACUUUCAGCGGGGAGGAAGGCGGUGGAGUUAAUAACUUCACCGAUUGACGUUACCCGCAGAAGAAGCACCGGCUAACUCCGUGCCAGCCGCCGCGGUAA